rnacentral:rRNA from 1 species
UACGGGGGGGCAAGCGUUGUUCGGAAUUACUGGGCGUAAAGGGCUCGUAGGCGGCCAACUAAGUCGGAUGUGAAAUCCCCAGGCUCAACUUGGGAACUGCAUCCGAUACUGGAUGGCUUGAGUGCAGGAGAGGAACGCGGAAUUCCAGGUGUAGCGGUGAAAUGCGUAGAUAUCUGGAGGAACACCGGUGGCGAAGGCGGCGUUCUGGACUGCAACUGACACUGAGGAACGAAAGCCAGGGGAGCAAACGGG